CUUGGUCAUUUAGAGGAAGUAAAAGUAUGUAACAAGGUUUCCGUAGGUGAACCUGCGGAAGGAUCAUUAUUGAAUAAACAUUUGAUAGGCUGUUGCUGGCCCUUCUAGGGGUAGUGUGCACGCUUGUCAUUUAUUUAUUUUUUCCCACCUGUGCACUUUUUUGUAGACCUUGGAGAAAGCAAAAUUGUCUUGAGCAAAUCAGGAUAGGUUUUGGAACUGCUGUGCCAGCUUUUCCUUGUUUCUCUAGGGUUCUAUGUCACUCACAUACUCCUAUGAAUGUAAUAGAAUGUUGAUCUGGGUCUUUGGUGCCCAUAAAAGUUGUAUACAACUUUCAGCAACGGAUCUCUUAGCUCUCGCAUCGAUGAAGAACGCAGCGAAAUGCGAUAAGUAAUGUGAAUUGCAGAAUUCAGUGAAUCAUCGAAUCUUUGAACGCAUCUUGCGCUCCUUGGUAUUCUGAGGAGCAUGCCUGUUUGAGUGUCAUUAAAUUCUCAACUACACUGACUUUGAUCAGUGUGGCUUGGGUUUGGGGGGGAUUGUGUGUGGGCUUUUUGUGGUCUGCUCCCCUGAAAUUAAUUAGCGGUACCUUGGGUGGAACUGUCUACCGGUGUGAUAAUUAUCUACAUCCUAGACAUCUGCUGGAAUGCUGCUUUCUAAACCUCACUUGUAUUGACAAUCUUGACCUCAAAUCAGGUAGGACUACCCGCUGAACUUAGGCAUAUCAAUAAGCGGAGGA
rnacentral:rRNA from 1 species